UUCGAUUCUGGCUCAGGAUGAACGCUGGCGGCAGGCUUAAUACAUGCAAGUUGAACGGUAACAUGUUGUAGCAAUACGAUGAUGACGAGUGGCGCACGGGUGCGUAACACGUGUGUAACCUACCUUAUACAGGAACAUAACGUUGAGAAAUCGGCGCUAACAUUCCAUAAUAUUAUUUGUAGGCAUCUAUGAAUAAUUAAAACUCCGGUGGUAUAAGAUGGGCACGCGUUCCAUUAGCUAGUUGGUAAGGUAACGGCUUACCAAGGCAACGAUGGAUAGGGGUUCUGAGAGGAUAAUCCCCCACACUGGAACUGAGACACGGUCCAGACUCCUACGGGAGGCAGCAGUAAGGAAUAUUGGGCAAUGGAGGCAACUCUGACCCAGCCAUGCCGCGUGCAGGAAGACGGCCCUAUGGGUUGUAAACUGCUUUUAAUAGGGAUUAAAGUCGACUACGUGUAGUUGUUUGCAAGUACCUAUAGAAUAAGCAUCGGCUAACUCCGUGCCAGCAGCUGC
rnacentral:rRNA from 1 species